CGGACGGGUGAGUAACGCGUGGGUAACCUGCCUUGUACUGGGGGACAACAGUUAGAAAUGACUGCUAAUACCGCAUAAGCGCACAGUAUCGCAUGAUACAGUGUGAAAAACUCCGGUGGUACAAGAUGGACCCGCGUCUGAUUAGGUAGUUGGUGGGGUAACGGCCUACCAAGCCGACGAUCAGUAGCCGACCUGAGAGGGUGACCGGCCACAUUGGGACUGAGACACGGCCCAG
rnacentral:rRNA from 1 species